rnacentral:rRNA from 1 species
GAUGAACGCUAGCGGCAGGCUUAACACAUGCAAGUCGAGGGGCAACACGGGUAGCAAUACCUGGUGGCGACCGGCGCAAGGGUGCGUAACGCGUGAGCAACAUGCCCUAUACAGGGGGAUAAUCCAGGGAAACUUGGUCUAAUAUCCCAUAGUAUUUAGAGGUGGCAUCACCACUAAAUUAAAGCUUCGGUGGUAUAGGAUUGGCUCGCGUGACAUUAGCUGGAUGGUGGGGUAACGGCUCACCAUGGCGAUGAUGUCUAGGGGUUCUGAGAGGAAGACCCCCCCACACUGGGACUGAGACACGGCCCAGACUCCUACGGGAGGCAGCAGUGAGGAAUAUUGGACAAUGGAUGGAAAUCUGAUCCAGCCAUGCCGCGUGCAGGGAAGACGGCCCUAUGGGUUAGUAAACGUGCUUUUAUAUGGGACAAUAAGGUUUACGCGUUAGACCGAAUCGGAGAGUACCAUAUGAAUAAGCAUCGGCUAACUCCGUCG